rnacentral:rRNA from 1 species
AACGAACGCUGGCGGCAUGCCUAACACAUGCAAGUCGAACGAGACCUUCGGGUCUAGUGGCGCACGGGUGCGUAACGCGUGGGAACCUGCCCUUAGGUUCGGAAUAACUCCCCGAAAGGGGUGCUAAUACCGGAUAAUGUCUUCGGACCAAAGAUUUAUCGCCUUUGGAUGGGCCCGCGUUGGAUUAGCUAGUUGGUAGGGUAAAAGCCUACCAAGGCGACGAUCCAUAGCUGGUCUGAGAGGAUGAUCAGCCACACUGGGACUGAGACACGGCCCAGACUACUACGGGAGGCAGCAGUGGGGAAUACUGGACAAUGGGCGAAAGCCUGAUCCAGCAAUGCCGCGUGAGUGAUGAAGGCCGUAGGGUUGUAAAGCUCUUUUACCCGGGACGAUAAUGACAGUACCGGGAGAAUAAGCACCGGCUAACUCCGUG